CGAGUUUAGCGAAAUGCUUGUGCUUCUAGUUCUGACAGUGCAGCAAUAUCUAACAAGUAAUCUAGCAAUUCCACAACAGCUACCUAAUACACACAAAUUGAAUUAAAGGGAUGGAAUAAGAAUAUAUACAUAUAAAUAUAUGGAUGGGCCAUGACCGACCGACAUAGGCAAAAUGCAAUAGAUGCAAUAAAAUACAGUAUAUACCGUAUAUAUAUCUGGGAUGAGGAGUGCAAGAUAUGUUGACAUCAUUAUUAAAGUGGCAUUAAUGAAGUAAUCCAUUUUUUAGUGGGUUAGGGUUAUCAAGUCUCAUUUCUCAGAUUUCCUAGCUCUCUUUCCCAACACAUGGGGUUGUAGAAGACAGAGGUUGAGGAGACCGGUGCUGCUCAAAACCUCAUGCAGGUAUCAUGACACAAGUUUUAAAGCCUUAUGAGAGGAAAAUCCACAGAAAUGCAGAGGGUAGUGUUUGUUGUGGUCUCCAAAAAAGUAUAGUAAGUGUAACUUUCAUGCUAAUCUGGCAACCCAGAACCAAAUCUCAUAUGAGCGAGAGGCUACUUUAAUGUGAAUCAACCCAGGUCCCUGCUAAACUUGGAAUAAUAUCUGUCGAUGUAUCUUGGCCUUGAACGAAAUACUUCAAAUCAGAUGUCCUAGCAUGCUCUUUACAAUUGUAAGAAUUGAUUCUCAAAAUGAAAACAGUAGAUUUUAUCGUUUUUUCAGGAUACAUUUUUCACAGACACAACUGUUCAGAUGGUAUCUGGCUGGUGUUGUCCUUAGGUGAUAGAAGAGCAUAUCAAUUCUAAUAAUAAGGCAAAAAAUGUGCCAGGUUGUCUGCAUUCUUCUCAGUUUAAAGGUAGAUUAUGAACCCUUUAAUUCCAAGCUCUACUAAUUGUAGUUUGUUAACAUCCCAACCAUUUUCACUGAAAACAGCAUGGCCUCACAGCCUCUUCUCUGUGCUUGCUGAGAUUAAGGUUAUUAUAGGCAGAUAGAUCUGAAUGUAGCUUUGGGCCAGAAGGAUCCUGACCAUGUUUUCUCUACUUGUCCAUUCCCUGCUUGAGAUAAUAACACUUGGAUCUCUUUAAACUGUUGAACUGGGCCAACCAACUCUGUUAAUUGAAACCUAUUUGCUUUUUGCCAUAAAACUUGCUCACCCUCUUCACUAUUGUCAGUGUGGCUAUACCACUAGUUCUGUUAUGACAUAAUGUAAUUGGCUUUGGUGUGGGUAUGUCGUGCAGUUUUGUCAGGAUGCAGAGGAACGAGUUGCUGACUGGUUAGGAGUCCAGCUAGAAUAACAAUCAGGCAAAUUGUCAAAGUGGAUUGUAACUUCACAACAUAAAAUCUCCAUCAGGAAUGCAUCCAUAAGAGUUUUUUUCCCCCAGCUCUCUUGGAAACAUGUCAUAAACAACUAUGUAAUGUAAUAAAAACCAGUUGAUCCAAAAUGAUUACAUUAUGUUAGAUCGAUGACCGCUGACCAUCCAAUAAUGAAGUCAAAUGAUCUAAGCUAAAAGACUUUAAUUUUCAGAGAUCACAUCCUUUUAAAAAUGUAUACCCGUAGAGUUCUGGAUGUAUCUGGUGUAGAUGCAUAUCAACUGAAUUGGAAUCAGGAAUUUGUGGAGAUGCCUUGUGGUCAACAUGCCCUCUUCAGUAGGUCCAGUUCAUGGAGUCUGAGGCAGAUAAGCAUCUAAACAGGGUGCCGAGAGUCACAUGAUACAGGGUCUUUGGAAAACCUUUAGCAGUCCUCAGUGGUUGAUGACAACCAAACUUCAAAGACUUGGAAGGUCCUUCACCUUAUUACUAAAUUUCACUGUCAGGGUGCCACUACCUGUUGUUGGGUAUAGGCUAUGAACAGACGUUUACGAUUAAGUUUUCCAAUAUUUGACAUAAUUGACACAUAUUUGUGAUGAAAUUAUUUCCAUAGUAACUUGUCUCAUGACAAGGGGCGGCAGGGUAGCCUAGUGGUUAGAGCGUUGGACUAGUAACCGGAAGGUUGUGAGUUCAAACCCCCGAGCUGACAAGGUACAAAUCUGUCGUUCUGCCCCUGAACAGGCAGUUAACCCACUGUUCCCAGGCCGUCAUUGAAAAUAAGAAUUUGUUCUUAACUGACUUGCCUGGUUAAAUAAAUAAAAAUAAAAUGAAUCAGAACAAUUUCAGUAACACGUCAUUUUAAGUUGAUUUAACUUUUCCCCAACUCUCAUUGAGUCAGAACAAAUUUCGG
rnacentral:lncRNA from 13 species